rnacentral:rRNA from 1 species
UACGUAGGGUGCAAGCGUUGUCCGGAUUUAUUGGGUUUAAAGGGUGCGCAGGCGGCUAGAUAAGUUAGUAGUCAAAGACAACGGCUCAACCGUUGAUCGGCUAUUAAAACUGUAUAGCUUGAGUCCGUCAGAGGGAGUUAGAAUGCGUGGUGUAGCGGUGAAAUGCAUAGAUAUCACGCAGAAUACCAAUUGCGAAGGCAGACUUCUAUGGCGGUACUGACGCUGAGGCACGAAAGCGUGGGGAGCGAACAGG